AUUGAACGCUGGCGGCAGGCCUUACACAUGCAAGUCGAGCGGAAACGCGGAGUGUUUACACUUUGGCGUCGAGCGGCGGACGGGUGAGUAAUGCCUAGGAAGUUGCCCAGUAGUUUGGGAUACCUAUUGGAAACGAUGGUUAAUACCGGAUACCUUUGCCUUUAUUGGUAAGGAAAGGGGGGGACCUUAUGGCCUCUUGCUACUGGAUACGCCUAGGUGAGAUUAGCUAGUUGGUGAGGUAAUGGCUCACCAAGGCGACGAUCUCUAGCUGGUCUGAGAGGAUGAUCAGCCACACUGGGACUGAGACACGGCCCAGACUCCUACGGGAGGCAGCAGUGGGGAAUAUUGCACAAUGGGCGAAAGCCUGAUGCAGCCAUGCCGCGUGUGUGAAGAAGGCCUUCGGGUUGUAAAGCACUUUCAUUGGCGAGGAAGGAUUUAUGGUUAAUACCUAUAGAUUUUGACGUUAACCAAAGAAGAAGCACCGGCUAACUCCGUGCCAGCAGCCGCGGUAAUACGGAGGGUGCGAGCGUUAAUCGGAAUUACUGGGCGUAAAGCGCAUGCAGGUGGAUAGAUAAGUCAGAUGUGAAAGCCCGGGGCUUAACUCCGGAAAGUUAUUUGAAACUGUUUAUCUAGAGUACUGUAGAGGGGGGUGGAAUUUCC
rnacentral:rRNA from 1 species